GACAGAGGGGGCAAGCGUUGCUCGGAAUUACUGGGCGUAAAGGGCGCGUAGGCGGAAUGGCAAGUCGGUCGUGAAAUCCUUCGGCUCAACCGAAGAACGUCGAUCGAAACUGCCGUUCUUGAGGAUUGCAGAGGAGACUGGAAUUCCCGGUGUAGCGGUGAAAUGGUGUAGAGAUCGGGAGGAACACCGGUGGCGAAGGCGGGUCUCUGGGCCGUAACUGACGCUGAGGAGCGAAAGCAUGGGGAGCGAACAGG
rnacentral:rRNA from 1 species